rnacentral:sRNA from 3 species
UGCAUCUGAAGUCUGACGAGGAUGAGAACCUCCGGGGGCAAGAGGUUCGACCCGAGCGAAGCGAGAGAACGUUGCGUCAGCAACGGCCCGCAGGGCGAGCCAUCCUCUAUCACCGGCAG